rnacentral:rRNA from 1 species
AUUGAACGCUGGCGGCAGGCCUAACACAUGCAAGUCGAGCGGAUGAAGGGAGCUUGCUCCUGGAUUCAGCGGCGGACGGGUGAGUAAUGCCUAGGAAUCUGCCUGGUAGUGGGGGAUAACGUCCGGAAACGGGCGCUAAUACCGCAUACGUCCUGAGGGAGAAAGUGGGGGAUCUUCGGACCUCACGCUAUCAGAUGAGCCUAGGUCGGAUUAGCUAGUUGGUGGGGUAAAGGCCUACCAAGGCGACGAUCCGUAACUGGUCUGAGAGGAUGAUCAGUCACACUGGAACUGAGACACGGUCCAGACUCCUACGGGAGGCAGCAGUGGGGAAUAUUGGACAAUGGGCGAAAGCCUGAUCCAGCCAUGCCGCGUGGGUGAAGAAGGUCUUCGGAUUGUAAAGCACUUUAAGUUGGGAGGAAGGGCAGUAAGUUAAUACCUUGCUGUUUUGACGUUACCAGCAGAAUAAGCACCGGCUAACUUCGU